rnacentral:misc_RNA from 1 species
AUGCCCAUUUAGUUUGUUAUUAGAAACAUCAAUCGUCUUUAGAUAGAGGUGAACAAUCGAUGGCAACUUGAAUGGUCCGUCGAAAGCAUUAUCUCUACUAUAAAACCCUGCAAGUCUGGUGUUAUUUUCUAAUAACCAUGUCUGGAACUUUCCUUGCAAUUGAUUUUCAUCUAUAACAAGAAUCCUCAAGUCAUAUUGAUAGU